ensembl:lncRNA
AUGUGGGAUCAAAUCCGGGUUGACCAUGGAAAAGAGUUCUAUAUGUGCCUGUAUAUCCAAGAGCUGCUGUCCAGACACAGAUACAAUAUAAACAGGCAACCAUAUGUACAGACAAAAUCAUCAAGGAACCUCAAAGCUGAGCGAAUAUGGCCAGAAAUAAAUAACAGAGUCAACUAUCCCCUGAAAGAAUCCCUGCUGCAACUUCAAGACCAAGAGGUGAUCAACAUGGAGGACAAGACAACUAGAUUUUGUGUAUCCAAUCUCACUUGUCAGGUUUCCUCAAAUGGGCUUGAACGAACUGUGCUAUCAUGGAAUGCACAUAGGAUUGCAGGUAUUUCUAAACAUGCAUUUUCUUUUUUUGGUAGUAACAAUGUAAACAUACAAAAUUAUAUACAAAUCAUUAUUUUGUAUAUAACUGCACCAUUGUCAAGCUACAUGCACUUGGCUUUACUUACAACCUUUUUAAACCUUUCUUCUUGUUUGUAUAUUAAUUAUGGUACUGCUGUUGUAGGAAAAGGAAUACCAAGCAUCUUGGCUGAAGGUGGGUGUCCAGCAAAGAUUUCCGAGGAACUCCUUCCACAGGCCUCUGUGGUUGCUGACAUGUACCAGCAAGAUGUGGGGUCCUGUCUGACAAGAACAUCAUCAUUUGUGACAGAUCCCUUUUCUUGUGAGGAAGACAGAGGCCAGGCGGAGGAAAAAUUUGCUGAUCAUUAUCCAGACAUUACACGGUGCUUUGAUCAGGCUGUAAAUUAUGACUUCACACCCUUUAAAGAAGCCAUAUUACAUCUCAUAAAUGUAACAAGACGUUAUUCAUGAAGAUGAAGGUUUCUUGAAUAAUACCAGGAACAAGACAUUCAUCAUAAAACUAACAUUUAUUACAUAUUUUUGUGAACAAUCAUUUUACAAAGUACAAAAAUAUACAAAUAAACAGCAAGUCUUUUGAACA